UCCUUUAAAGAUAGCGUAACAGCUCACUGGUCUAAAUAAGUUGUCCUGCGGCGAAGAUGUAACGGGGCUCAAGCCAUGAGCCGAAGCUGAGGAUGCACGUAGUGCAUGGUAGCAGAGCGUAGUGUGACAUAACACAACGCCUCCUUAGCUCCUUCGGGAGCAUUGGAGGCGAGGUGUUUUCGAUGAAGCCGGGGCGUGAGCCAACCGGUGGAGAGAUCACUAGCGAGAAUGAUGACAUGAGUAGCGACAAACAGGGUGAGAGACCCUGUCGCCGAAAGUCCAAGGGUUCCUGCUUAAAGCUAAUCUGAGCAGGGUAAGCCGGCCCCUAAGGCGAGGCAGAAAUGCGUAGUCGAUGGGAACCAGGUUAAUAUUCCUGGGCCAGGAGAUGGUGACGGAUUGCGAAGAUUGUUCCUCCUUAUUGGAUUGGAGGGGCCGUUUAGCAGUUCCUGGAAAUAGCCCUCCGUAGGACCGUACCCUAAACCGACACAGGUGGACUGGUAGAGAAUACCAAGGCGCUUGAGAGAACGAUGUUGAAGGAACUCGGCAAAAUACCUCCGUAAGUUCGCGAGAAGGAGGCCCGUUCAGUAGGCAACUAUUGGGCGGGGGCACAAACCAGGGGGUGGCGACUGUUUACUAAAAACACAGGGCUCUGCGAAGUCGCAAGACGACGUAUAGGGUCUGACGCCUGCCCGGUGCCUGAAGGUUAAAAGGAGGGGUGAGAGCUCUGAAUUGAAGCCCAGGUAAACGGCGGCCGUAACUAUAACGGUCCUAAGGUAGCGAAAUUCCUUGUCGGGUAAGUUCCGACCUGCACGAAUGGCGUAACGACUUCCCCGCUGUCUCCAACAUAGACUCAGCGAAAUUGAAUUACCGGUCAAGAUGCCGGUUACCCGCGGUUAGACGGAAAGACCCCGUGCACCUUUACUACAACUUCACACUGGCAUUAGGCCGAACAUGUGCAGGAUAGGUGGUGGGCUUUGAAGCGUGGACGCCAGUCUGCGUGGAGCCUCCCUUGAGAUACCACCCUUGUUCUGCUUGAUGUCUAACCGCGGUCCGUUAUCCGGAUCCGGGACCCUGUGUGGUGGGUAGUUUGACUGGGGCGGUCGCCUCCUAAAUCGUAACGGAGGCGCGCGAAGGUUGGCUCAGAGCGGUCGGAAAUCGCUCGUUGAGUGCAAUGGCAGAAGCCAGCCUGACUGCGAGACUGACAAGUCGAGCAGAGUCGAAAGACGGCCAUAGUGAUCCGGUGGUCCCAAGUGGGAGGGCCAUCGCUCAACGGAUAAAAGGUACGCCGGGGAUAACAGGCUGAUACUGCCCAAGAGUCCAUAUCGACGGCAGUGUUUGGCACCUCGAUGUCGGCUCAUCUCAUCCUGGGGCUGGAGCAGGUCCCAAGGGUACGGCUGUUCGCCGUUUAAAGAGGUACGUGAGCUGGGUUUAGAACGUCGUGAGACAGUUCGGUCCCUAUCUUCCGUGGGUGUAGGAUACUUGAGAGGAGUUGCCCCUAGUACGAGAGGACCGGGGUGAACGAUCCACUGGUGGACCAGUUGUUAUGCCAAUAGCAGUGCUGGGUAGCUAUGAUCGGACAGGAUAACCGCUGAAGGCAUCUAAGCGGGAAGCCCCCCUCAAAACAAGGUAUCCCUGAGAGCCGAGAUAGACCAUCUCGUCGAUAGGCCAGAGAUGUAAGCGUAGUAAUACGUUCAGUUGACUGGUACUAAUUGCUCGAUAGGCUUGAUU
rnacentral:rRNA from 1 species